GUCCCUGUAGCUCAAUGGAUAGAGCCUACGCCUUCUAAGCGUAUGAUAUAUGUUCGAUUCAUAUCGGGGACA
rnacentral:tRNA from 1 species